rnacentral:sRNA from 1 species
AUGCCUGUUAAUUACAAAUUUCCUGAGUUUAAGGGCUAAGUAUAAGGCUGCCUGAGAGAGUUUGACCUGGGCCACAGGUCAAAUUGAAAAGGCACUUUUCUCUCUAGAAGAUGGGGUUCAUCCAAGUGCCCUCUGUAUUGCUUGCAAAGUGAUGAAAUCCAACUGAGUUCUUAAGUUGAACGCUCCUUUGAACCCCAUUACUUGAUGAUUUACACAAUUUUCAAAAUAGGGUAACACCCAGAGGGUUGUCUGGUUCAAUUUCCUCCCGAAAUCCAGACUUGGGGAUUUCCUUAAAGACCUGCCAUUCUUUUCCUUCCUGUGGUGACGGUUUCACCAGUGCCGAGGUGGCUGAUGGGUCUGGACCGAAGAAGAUACUGGGCGGAAACCACAGGUACAGGCAUCCGGUCCAGUUAAGAUCGGAAGGAGCUUGUGUGGUAAUUGGCAUUGUGAGUGUUCAUCCAGGUGUGGCAAAUGGGAGAAAGGAGAAAGGGCGCAGGACACCUGCCUGCGUUUUUUCUUUCUCAACAGCUGAUCUUCAACGAUUCGGGUGGAUUUAGAGUUACCUAGGAGACACAGCUUUAUGCGCGCCCGUGAGAGCGUUUUCAGAGAGGUUUAACUGAAGAGGUACAUCGGAGCCCAGAUGUGUGCGGCCCUACCUCAUAGGCUGGGAUCCCUGGACUUUAUAAAAGCAUAAACACAAGAAAGCAAAAUGAGUACCAGAAUUCUGCUCUCCACAGAGGCGAUGUGACCAGCUGCCAAAUGCUUCUGCAGCCAUGACUUCCCACCAGGAUGGACCAAAUCACCUCAAACCACAGGGAUCCAAACGUUUCAUUCAAGCUCUUUUUCCAUCAUAGUGCGUCAUAAGACAAUGAGCGGUAGAAAGGAAGCUAGGAGAAGAGUGGAGGUUGUUCCUUCAUUUCUGGGGAUCCGUGAGCAUGGAACGGGGCUAACCGGCUGCAUGAGGAAGUUCCUAAGGGAGCCACGGCAGGACUACUUGAUUGCAGAAGAGCUGAGCGCUGACCACCAUGAAGCAUAGAGCAACUCUGUCUGAAGGGUGAUGAGAGCUUGGUGUUGAUGAACAAACGGGUAUUGAGGGAUGCUGGUUGAAGACAUUCAUCUCCUCCACUCCCUCAGGCAACAUGUGGUCACAGCCAAAUCCCUUAGGUUCUGAUUUGGUCUGAUGACCGUUUCCUGUGGGUUUUCCAGGGUGAACCACAUCUUGAACCAGAAGAUGUGGAGCUGGAUGAAUUUCUCAAGUCGGUGUUAGUUUCAAUCCUGUUGCUCUGCUAAAACCCACAGACAGAAAGCUGCAUAAGAGAGAAAGGUGCUGAUCUGGCUUACAAUUCCAGGUUAUUGUCUCUCAGAGCAGAGAAGCCAAUGGAAGGAUCAAGAGGUAUCUAGUUGCAUCACAUCUUCAGCCAAAAGCAGAGAGAAAUGAAUGUGUGAGGUUUUCUGCUUUCUUGCUUUCUCCUCUCUUACAUACCUACCUAGGGAAUGGUGCUGCCCAUGGUGGGCUUGGUCUUCCUAUAUCAAUUAAAAAUCAAGACAGUCUCCUACCGACAUGCCCACAGGCGGGACUUUAUCAAGAAAGUUCCUUAAUUAUGACCCCCUCCCCCCAAUUACUUCUAGGUUACGUCAAGCUGACACUUAAAAACCAACCAUCACCCCAAGUAAUGACAACAAAUGUCCCCACCCUGAUGACUUCCUUUUCCUUGAAAUGUGGACUGCUUGCAGGACUCUUUGGUACCUACAUCAUUGCAUGGAUGUUACCUGACUUACCUAGGAACCUCCCUUUCACUCUU